AUGGGCAACAGCUGCGUGUGUCUGUGUGUGUGUGAGUGAGUGUGUGUGUGAGUGAGUGUGUGCACAGGUGUGUGGAGUCAAGACCUCUGGUGGUGAGAGGGAGAACCACAGACGCCAGACCCUGAGAAAUGUAGUGAAGCCUCUUCUCCAUUAACAUCCAUUUAAAAAACAGUCUCUGGUCUCCUUUCCUGCAUAUCGACAAAGCCACAGUGUUAGUAUUACCCAUUACGCUUUUUUGGCUAAAGGUUGCAGGCUUCCCUUCCAGUGUCUUUGGUCCCAAGGAUUGGAGUUGAGAACCACUUAUCUAAAAGCAUAUUUAAAAAAAAAAGAAGAAGGGCUUCAUUACUUUGCUGUCAUUUUUUAUUCUUUAAAAUGCCUGCUCAAGGAACAAGACCCUGUGAUCCGGUUAUAUACACUCCCUAUUUAGGUCGCGAGGCCUCUGUCCAAGCCUCUGCUUCAGCACCCAAUGCCCUUCAUCUACCCGUCUCAAAAUUGAUUACAGGUCCUGAGGACUCUGUCCACGCCUCUGCUUCAGCACACAAUGCCCUUCAUCUACCCGUCUCAAAAUUGAACAAAUUUCACUACAAGAUUAAAGGUAAUUCCCUUAAUGUCAUUUUUGUUUGCAUAUUACAAUAUUUUUCACAU
rnacentral:lncRNA from 1 species